rnacentral:SRP_RNA from 1 species
GCCAGGCGUGGUGGCUCACGCCUGUAAUCCCAUCACUUUGGGAGGCCGAGGCAGGUGAAUCACUUGAGGUCAGGAGUUCGAGACCAGCCUGGCCAACACAGUGAAACCCUGUCUCUA